UCUCCGUUAUGUACAAAAGCGGAGACCGACCGCCAGCGCGGCUUCGACUCUCAGCGCGCGGAAGCGAUCCCGGGGUCCAGUGGGCCCGCUUUAGCCACGCCUCCGCGGGCGGGAAAAGGCGGGGAAUUCAAAUUAGGAACGGCGUUGGGUGAGAGCGACGAAGCGUCGACAGAAACACAGAUUCUCUUUUAAAAGUUCUUUCUUCGAUGGAAGGCUGCUACGAGAUCCAUCGCGGGAAGCCCAUACCCCCACGUGGCGUAUCUCCUGAACCGCGCUUCUUUUUACCUUCUGCCCCGGUAAGACGUUUACCUAACCUCAUCAUCGUUCGUGGUACGAGACGGACGUCGCCACGUAGUGAAAAGCCGAGGCUUCACGGCCCCGGAAGGGUGGCGUCUGAACCUGACGGUCCGUGGGCUAUUAUUCCGUAUAGGAUGCCGGGACGGCUGGGUAGCCAUCCAGAAAAAGUAACGUCAGACUUAUACUCCCAAUUCCUGCACUAGGACGGAUACGAAGAAGUGUGAUCUGUGCUCGAGGUGGAAAUGCAAAAUGAUGAACAAUUGAAAGGACAACGGGCAAAGAAUAGAGACACUCAGUAACUUGACCAAACUCACAAGAAGCCGGUGCGUGAACCGGAAUGAGAAACCAUUAAUCUGCAAUGGGAAAUACUCCUUUGCGAUGACAGAACACGCAUGUCUGCCAUCCCAGGCACCUCGCUGCACAGAUCAAGAUGCCCGUGACGUUCCGUGAGGGAGCCCGGUGGGGCGCCUGGCUGGCUCCGUCAGAAGAGCAUGGGACUCUCGAUGAUCUCAGGGUCGUGAGUUCAGACCCCAUGUUGGGCAUGGAGCCUACUUUAAAUAAAUAAAUAAAUAAAUAAAUAAAUAAAUAAAUA
rnacentral:lncRNA from 1 species